CUCCCCGCCCUUGAAGCAGAAAAUAAUUAGAAAAAUCUUAUUGUGGUUGGCACAUCCCGGAAAUUUUGGAAAAUACAGGUUUAUGGUAUUCUGGCCUAAUCUUUUCACUGUUCUUUUUGUUUUAAUUAUUGCUUCUUAACCAGCUAGAACUGGGAAAUGGCAUUUAAAAGGAGACAAGCAAACUCUGUGGGGCUAUGGGUACCAAGGAAACUAAAAGCACCAGUGACUAGAUCCCGGGAUAUUACCUUUGCUACCGAGAAGACUGGCAUCUCGACCCUUGGUUGCAACCCAAGGGGCCUUGAGAAAGGUAGAAAGGUGGAUUUCCUAAGGAUUAUUUUCACUAUGAUCAUUCUGGUACGCUUGGCAGUUGGCCAAAGCCAGAGAGCCACACUGGACAGAGUUUCGGCAAUGAAAAAGCAAACAGGGCAAAAACCAAGUCCCAGCAAUUUCAACAUUUGUGACUAUUGCUUUCAACCUGUGUGUAUUAAGGACAAGGUGGAAUCUGUGUUUGUAACACACCUGUAUGUUAGUUCUGCCUGCUACAAUUGCAGCAGUGUUAUAGAUGUUUGUAUUAAGGAAGAAAGGAUGUAUUGGGUAGAGAAAAAUUUGAGAUAUAAUGGACGAGCUCCUUAUCCCCAUGGUGAUCAAAUUUGUCCUCAAUAUGAAAGAUGCAUUUAUUUUAAAAGAGAUGAUAAUGGAAAGGAUCCAAGUAUUGGCAUGGGAAAUCGGGCACUAAAAGAAAAAUUGAAAGAGAAAAUAAAACAAGAAAAAGAAACAAAGGGAAAUAGAGAAAAGAACAGGAGAAAAGAGUCAACAGAAUUGGCUGAAUUGUAUAAACAGCUAAAACAGUAUUGCAAUGAUUGGGAUUUGCCAGCCUCGAAUAAGAAUCUGUUUGUGGGAUUGAUGCAAAGGAUUGCUACAGAAUUGGAAUUAUUCACAUGUGGGAUUUGUGGAGGUCUAAAAAUGGCUGAAAGAUGCCCAUGGAAAGGUGAGAGCUUAGCUCCAGAGCAAUUUUUAAAGUGGAACCACACCCAAAUUUCUGGAACAUUGAAGAGACCUGAAGGAUGGAUUUUAAGUCAUCAGGCAAUUGGAAUAAUUUGUAUAACUCAAGAAGGAAAGAAAUUUAAUAAAGUAGUAGGGCAUACUCCUUGUAAAUCCACAUUGGUUGUUAAUAUAGAUAAUUGUUUAAAAAUGUGGCGACCAGAAAACCCUGCUGGAUAUUGGGGACUCAUAUUGCGCAUAUGUAACCCAAAGGUGAAUUAAAGGACAACGAAGAAGACU
rnacentral:lncRNA from 1 species